CCUACGGGGGGCAGCAGUGGGGGAUAUUGCACAAUGGGGGGAACCCUGAUGCAGCGACGCCGCGUGGGUGAAGGAGCGUUUCGGCGCGUAAAGCCCUAUCGGCAGGGAAGAAGGAGGACGGUACCUGACGAAGAAGCCCCGGCUAACUACGUGCCAGCAGCCGCGGUAAUACGGAGGGGGCAAGCGUUAUCCGGAUUUACUGGGUGUAAGGGGGGCGCAGACGGCAGCGCAAGCCAGGAGUGAAAGCCCGGGGCCCAACCCCGGGACUGCUCUUGGAACUGCGCGGCUGGAGUGCAGGAGGGGCAGGCGGAAUUCCUGGUGUAGCGGUGAAAUGCGUAGAUAUCAGGAGGAACACCGGUGGCGAGGGCGGCCUGCUGGACUGCGACUGACGUUGAGGCCCGAAAGCGUGGGGAGCAAACAGGAUUAGAUACCCUUGUAGUC
rnacentral:rRNA from 1 species